rnacentral:rRNA from 1 species
GGCCUUCGGGUUGUAAACUGCUUUUGUACGGAACGAAAAGGCCCUGGUGAACAACCGGGGUUGCUGACGGUACCGUAAGAAUAAGCACCGGCUAACUACGUGCCAGCAGCCGCGGUAAUACGUAGGGUGCGAGCGUUAAUCGGAAUUACUGGGCGUAAAGCGUGCGCAGGCGGACAUGCAAGACAGAUGUGAAAUCCCCGGGCUCAACCUGGGAACUGCAUAUGUGACUGUAUGACUGGAGUACGGCAGAGGGGGAUGGAAUUCCGCGUGUAGCAGUGAAAUGCGUAGAUAUGCGGAGGAACGCCGAUGGCGAAGGCAAUCCCCUGGGCCAGUACUGACGCUCAUGCACGAAAGCGUGGGGAGCAAACAGGAUUAGAUACCCUGGUAGUCC